rnacentral:ncRNA from 1 species
CACUUAUCCAGAAAGGCAGAGGGUACUGGCCCUGCGAAGCCUUAGCAACCAAUUCCGGUUACACGGAAAAAAGGUGCUAAUUCCGGCCCCUAUAUAAGGGGAAAGAUAAGUU